GCCAAAUCAUAACACAUGAUAUAUAAAAAUUCUACAAUUACUCAAUUACUACCUCUUUACUCUCUCUCCCCUCUCUCAACAUUCCUUUCCUUCCAAUCUAAGCCUUGUAUAGCGAUAUAUAACCACAAACACACUACAAAACUGCAGCCUCUCCCCACAAAACAUGAGCUCAGUCUGCAUAUCAAACUGUGUCAACGAUACACGAGACCCCCGCGUGCCAGUACGUGCCACCUAUGUGAACCUCUACAAGUGGCCGGAAUCCGAUGCAGAGUUCAUAAAGUCUGUCCAGCGAGUAAGGCAGGGUUUGCAAGGCCAAACAAGGGUGGUGGACAGCAUAUCCUGCAGGCAAAUGUAUGUUAGGAGCUACACGUUCUCAAGGAAGGAGAGUGUGCCACAGAAGACGAAGAAGUGCUUGGGUAGAGUGAAAGAGAAGGUGGCUAAUCAUGGAAAGAAGAAACAAGAAGAGGGCCGGAUAAGGAAGUGUUUGGUGUUUAGGAAAGUGAAAGAAUUUUCUUGCGGUGCUUUGUUUAGAAUCUUUCACAGGUUGUUGUCUUGUGGUGCUAGUAUAGAUGUGGUUGAUCAAAAAGAUUCAAAUUAAUUUCUCAGUUUUCAGUUUUCUUCUUGUUUAUUUAUACUUUUAAGGUAUGUUUCUGUGUUUUAUAUAUAAAUAUGUGAUGAAUUUAUUAGGCUAAGGGAGAAAAUUAAAGGAAUGAAGGGUUGUUUAUAUAUA
rnacentral:misc_RNA from 1 species